rnacentral:rRNA from 1 species
UGGCAGUGCGGCAGCUAUACAUGCAGUCGAGCGGACAGAUGGGAGCUUGCUCCCUGAUGUUAGCGGCGGACGGGUGAGUAACACGUGGGUAACCUGCCUGUAAGACUGGGAUAACUCCGGGAAACCGGGGCUAAUACCGGAUGGUUGUUUGAACCGCAUGGUUCAGACAUAAAAGGUGGCUUCGGCUACCACUUACAGAUGGACCCGCGGCGCAUUAGCUAGUUGGUGAGGUAACGGCUCACCAAGGCGACGAUGCGUAGCCGACCUGAGAGGGUGAUCGGCCACACUGGGACUGAGACACGGCCCAGACUCCUACGGGAGGCAGCAGUAGGGAAUCUUCCGCAAUGGACGAAAGUCUGACGGAGCAACGCCGCGUGAGUGAUGAAGGUUUUCGGAUCGUAAAGCUCUGUUGUUAGGGAAGAACAAGUGCCGUUCAAAUAGGGCGGCACCUUGACGGUACCUAACCAGAAAGCCACGGCUAACUACGUGCCAGCAGCCGCGGUAAUACGUAGGUGGCAAGCGUUGUCCGGAAUUAUUGGGCGUAAAGGGCUCGCAGGCGGUUUCUUAAGUCUGAUGUGAAAGCCCCCGGCUCAACCGGGGAGGGUCAUUGGAAACUGGGGAACUUGAGUGCAGAAGAGGAGAGUGGAAUUCCAC